rnacentral:lncRNA from 1 species
AUUAGGCUUAAGGUGUAGAGCAAUUAAUUGACGUUGCAUUAAUUUUGAGUAAUUUUAAGAAGUUAUCUGUGUUAACACCUUCAUGAAAAUUUGUAGCGCUGAUAAGAAAGUGUUUGCUCUUCAUGAAUGACCUUUAUCAUGGUUAAGGGGAUCCCUGUUUGUUAGUCUCUGUGUACCAAAUGAGUCUAGACUCCUUGAUGUGUGAAAUGAGUAGCUACCAUUGUGAACUGUUUUAUCAUAUUUUCUAGUUACUCUAAUCUUCUCUCUUUGAAUGGAAUUGCAACAUUUUGCAUCGCAGCAAAGACAAACAUCUAGCUGUCCAGAAGGAAAGAGGACUGAGGACUUCUGCUAAUACUGCCCCUUGCUUUCUGUGUGGCUGCUUUCUGUUACAGUAGCAUCCAAAUGUGAUUAAUAAGGACAGCAAAAAGGAAAGCAAUGGGUGAGUGAAUGUUUGCUUGUCAUUGACCACCUGGUUCACUUUGGCAUGGCAGAAUUUAAACUCAGUAGGAUUAGAACUAAAUUUUUUUUUUAGGAAGAUCUUGAGUGUACAUGCUUCAGUAUUGCUUGGACAUCUGUCUG